CCCUGAGGCCAUCACAAGAAAGGAGAGCAAACAAGGAUGAGGUCUCAACUCUUCCCCCUCCCAACCAGCAGAUGGCACUGCCAGCCCGAAGGGACCUCAUUUGGAGACUUGUUGAGUCCUUAGUAGAGUGUGUGUUUCCUACAGCCCGACGGCUUCCAGCUGCUAGAGACUGACACACGCCUCAUACACCUGCCCCUGCAGCAGCCCAAUAUAGGCCCUGCUGAUGAGCAACUUGCCCCUGACGUGAAAGAACCCAGGGUGGGGUUCAGCUCUUUCUUUUCUUGGGUCUGAGUGUGGCUGCUCUCCCCGGACAGCUCUGUGGAGGUUGCAUACCUAUGCAGGGACUCUGGAGGAGGACAGUCGGUCUCUCUUCCAGAAGCCACCCACAGCGGCCAAAACAAGGAUCCAGGUGUCUGGGUCAGAGGCCUUGGAAUGGCCAAAUGGCCUCAGAGCAGAGUCUGAAUCAGGGGAUUCUGCUCCAACCAGGAAAGAACCUCUGAGCUGGGCUCAUGGUGGGGAGAUAUCUGGGGGAAGCCUGGGUCAGCUUGGGUGCAUUGGGCAACUCCUAAGUAUAGCCCAAAAGUGAGAAAAUAAAGCCUCCUUUUGAAAAUCCAACACAGGGCUCCCAGGCUGUGCCUGACGCGGUGGAGAUAAGGCUGAAAGUUAGCAGGGGCCAGACCAGGCUGCAAAGUUGUUCAGGUCCUGCAAGUUAACCUGGGCCCAUCUGUUGUUAGGAACAGCCAUUCGAAGGCAGGCUGAAAGAGGCAUUGUUGGAAAUGGGAUUGAGAGUAGGCGGUCUGUGGGGUGGGACUAAAGGGCUCUGUGGCUGUGAGAUGGGCCAGGGAUGGGAUUGGAGAAGGCUGCUGGGGGCAAGGAGAUGAGAGAGAAGAGGGUACCCAGGGGGAUGCUCCAGUGCUGCCAGGUAGUCUGGAUAGAUGAACCACAUUCCCCAAGGAGGUCUCCAGGGUUCCCCAGGGGCUGGCUGGUGGCCUCUCUGAGCGGCACAUAACUCAGCCUCUGGGGCAAAGUUAUUUCCGUUACUAUUAACACCACAGGCUAGACAGGCUGCACCUUAAGGGACAACCUCAGCCCUCAUCUCUAGCCAUGCAUUUGUAUCCAGACGGUCCAGCCUUUGCUCCUUCUCCAUCUGGCACAUCCUCGCAGCUCCUGACCUCUUCUUGCCCACUGUUCACACCACACGCACUUGGGUGCACCAUGUUCACACUGCACUUAGCCACAAGCCCAAGGACAGGAACUUCUGAGGUCGCCUUGUUCUUAUGCCACCAGAUCCCUACCUCCUCACUGAGCCCCAUGUGCCAUGAACACCUUGGUCCUGUCCUUGCCAAUGGGCAGGUGCACACAUGCCCUCCCUCCCUCUCUCCUCUCUCCUCUCUCCUCUCUCCUCUCUCCUCUCUCUCUCUCUCUCUCUCUCUCUCUCUCUCUCUCUCUCUCUCUUACACACACACUACACCUACCUUGAUCGGAAGACAGAAAGGGGGCAGGAAAGUGGCCGGUAGUUUUUCAGUCAGAGAAGCUGGACCAGUUGCAGACCCCGCCCCCUCCUCUGCACCCAGAGGCCAGCCAUGUGGCCUGGCUCAGAGACCUCUUUUCCCUGGGUCCUCUGGGGAGGGAGGGAGGGCUUUCGUUCAACCUCCCAGUCACAGUCCACAAGCUGAGGGGCCUGUCACCUCUCUCCUGACUUGUCCCCUCUAGCGACAUCCCCAGCGGCUGGGCUGGGCUCUGGGCAGGGAAGAUCUGGCUGGAGAGUGGGUGGCAGUGAAUGGCUGCUCUGAGUCUCUGGAAUCCUACAGAGUUAUGGGAGUCAGCCAGCUGAGCUGCCCUGAACACAGGGCCACGCAGGGAGGGGGAUGCCCUGGUGUUCCACCUAACCCUUGACUGGCCCCUUGAGAGGUAUCGCCAGUGAGAGAGAACAGGGUUACUCCAACGAUGAUGCCAUUGUUUGCCCCAUGCAACUUCCCUCUGCCCUCCCUCUUCACCCCCCCCAGAAGUCUGGUGACCCUGGAGCUACCUGUGCCCAUGCCCCUGAGUUCUUGCCUCAAGUUGCAGUUUUUGAGUAUGCAUCUAUACCCUUCAAAACCAUUCUCUGAGAUCCCAUUUGCUCCAGACAGAUCCUAGACGAAGACUCAGGGUAUGAAGGUAGCUGGCCCUGGCCCAGACCUCAAAGAAAUCCACAAAUCCAUCCAAGCUGGCCCUGGCGAGGCAGAUUCUCAGCAGCCCCUGGCCACUGGACUGGAAUAGGUACCCUUUCCUGUGUGCCCCCAGCACCAGGCUGGCUUUGUCACACAAUGGUGUAAUAAGGACCGUGGUGGGAAGAGCCACCACUGGCUGGUUACUUACUUUGUGUCAGGCACUGAGCCAGGCUCAGGGAACUCAGAGUCUGCUCGGGAAGACAGAUAUGUAAGCAGAUUCCUCACAGUAUUAGCCACAGAGUACGUGACAGGGACAUCCCCCAGACACUCACUCUGACCCAGGAGCUAAGCUAAACAUUCUCCGGGCAUGUCUCCUAAUCAUCACCUCGUCGCUUGCUUUUUGCCAAUGAGGACACUGUACCCCACAACACUGUGGGGCCCUAUGUACUACGCUCCUUGGCGAAUGACCUUCUGGCUUGGCCAAUAGAACUUUCUGUGAUAAUGGAAAUGUUCUAUAUCGCCACUGCCCAAUAAAAUGGCCACUAGCCACAGGUGGCUCCUGAGUACUCGUCAUGAUUCUCUGAUGACCAAGGACCUGACGAAUUCAUCUGAUUCCGUUUGAACGUGUGUCUACUGUACCGGACAGCACCGUUCUGAAGGACCUGCCUCUUACUAUUCUCCGGGCCCCAGGACCUGGCAAGAACCACGGAAGCAGGACCUGAGUCUCGUCCAUCUCUGCUUUCCACAUGCCGGGCUGCCUCUCUCCUUCCCCUCCAGCGUUGGCUGGCUCCAAGCAAGCUGUUUAGGAUUUUGUCAUCUGCAGCCCCUGUAGGCAGGAAACGUGUAUUCAACCUCAUGUGUACAGGUAUAUAAUACAGGUUCUCACGCAUGCCAAGUUGGCCUUAAACUUCCAAGAAUGACCUUGAGCUUCUGCUCCUCGGGCCUCCACUGCUGAAGGAUGCGAUUGUGGAUGAGCACUCCAGCACCUGGUUUACGCACUGCUAUGGAUGGGGCGAACUUUAUCCUUAGGUGAUGAGAAACGACAGCAGGAAGACACUGACGUCGCUUCCCAUCUAUGAUGGCACUAAAAGCACUGCAAUGUAUAAUAUACCAUCGUCUCUGCCAGGCCUUAGGUGGCAUAUGGAGUGGUGGUCAAAGUGUGCACGCUGAAUGUUCAAUACCAAGGGUGGACAGUGAGAGUAUGCCCAGCCAACACACAGGAAUUGGCCAGAAACCUACAGAUUUGUUUCGAGUUUGAUUUUGAAUUAAUUUGUGGUUGUUGUGCAUUCGGAAACCUUUUACUGUUGCCCAGUUUUUACCACCUCCACAUUCAGUUACUGGUGGCCACCCACAGUUUUUACAGUCUGGGGUUAGUAGAGUUCACUGCCUGUCCAGCCAUUGCAAAGUUGGGUCUAGCUGCCCUCUAGUGGCCGAAGGUGGCAAUGCCCUCCUUUACAUCCACACUUUCCCAUCAAAGACAGAGAAAUUGACAAGUGUCCUCCACUCCCUGACAAGAGGCCCGGGCUAUGAGAUUUCUCAAACAUGUGAUUCUGCAGCCAUGUGGUUUUGAACAUCCCUUCGUCUCUCUUAGCUCCACUUUGUCCUGUAAUAGGGGUUGGAUUAGACAGCCUGGGUAACAAACCAUUCCAAAACCCUCGGGGCUUAUCACACUGAAAGCUGGUUUCUCAUGGACCGACUAAAUUCGGUGCCAUCUCCACUCCAGGACCUGACAGAGCCUUCCAGAGCAUUGCCAGUGAUUGUGACAAACUGAAGGUUAGUGAACUCCUUGCCAGCUACUAAAGGCUUUGGCCUAAUAUCAACUCAUUGCCCAGAACUAGCAGGAUGACCCACCUAUCACACGAAGGUAGGAAAGUAAAAUCCUACUGCCUACUGAGAGAUGGGGAGCCAGGGAUAUUUGGUAAGCAGUGAUGUAGACUCACAGGUUGCUGUAAGAAUGACCUCAGGGAGCUUCGAAGACGCUCAUGGCCCUGUUAGGAUAUGUUACACUCACUCCAUGUAAGCCAUGAAAAUUGGGAUCUCUGGGGCUAGGGAUAGCUUGGUAGUAGAUUGUAUACACAGUGUGUAUAAAACCGUGAAUUCAGCCGUACAUACACACGCACAGUUGUGGCCUUGGAAUUCCUAUUUUCUUGUCUAUUCACCCCUAUAAUUUCUUUUGGCUUCCAUGAAGCUGUGGAAAGCUGUUCAAAGCCACAGAACCAAAAGGGGAAAUGGACUUGCUGCAGUCACACAGUGAGUCAUUGGCGGGACACUCAGAUCUCCAUACUUCAAGUUCUGGGGCUCUCACUUUAUGGGGCGAGAGGGAGAAGAUCUGCC